rfam:Rhizobium sp. RT36D genome assembly, contig: Ga0136764_154
GGGGCUGUAGCUCAGCUGGGAGAGCACCUGCUUUGCAAGCAGGGGGUCAGCGGUUCGAUCCCGCUCAGCUCCA